AGAGUUUGAUCCUGGCUCAGAACGAACGCUGGCGGCGUGCUUAACACAUGCAAGUCGAGUGCGCGGUUGUAGCAAUACAACUGGCGCACGGCGCACGGGUGCGUAACACGUGGGCAAUCUGCCCUUCGAUGGGGAAUAACUCCGGGAAACCGAAGCUAAUUCCGCAUAACAUUCCUUGGACCUCGGUUCGAGGACUCAAAGCCGCAAGGCGUCGAAGGAGGAGCCCGCGCACGAUUAGCUAGUUGGUAGGGUAACGGCCUACCAAGGCUUUGAUCGUUAGCUGGUCUGAGAGGAUGGCCAGCCACACUGGAACUGAGACACGGUCCAGACUCCUACGGGAGGCAGCAGUGGGGAAUCUUGCACAAUGGGCGAAAGCCUGAUGCAGCGACGCCGCGUGGGGGAUGAAGCAUUUCGGUGUGUAAACCCCUUUCGACCCGGACGAAUACCUCGCAAGAGGGGUGACGGUACGGGUAUAAGAAGCCCCGGCUAACUACGUGCCAGCAGCCGCGGUAAGACGUAGGGGGCCAGCGUUGUUCGGAAUUACUGGGUGUAAAGGGUCAG
rnacentral:rRNA from 1 species